UCCAUUGGGGUCCGAUUUAAAAGGGUUUUUAAGAUCAACCUUGAUUAAGAACCCGCGAUGACGUACCAUCUCAUGUAGUACGUUCGACCUGCUUGUCAGGCUCAUUCGUAUACGACAUUCAACUUUUGACCUCAAAUCAGGUAAGAAUACCCGCUGAACUUAAGCAUAUCAAUAAGCGGAGGAAAAGAAAAUAACAAUGAUUCCCUCAGUAACGGCGAGCGAAGAGGGAUAAGCUCAAAUUUUAAAUCUGUUGGGUUUCACCUAACAGAGUUGUAUUUUGAAGAAACGUUUUCUGCGUCCAGGAUUAGCCUAAAUCCUUUGGGAUAAGGUAUCAUGGAGGGUGAGAAUCCCGUUCAUGGUUAAUCUUAAGGAUGCUCUACGAUACGUUCUCCAAGAGUCGAGUUGUUUGGGAUUGCAGCUCAAAAUGGGAGGUAAAUUUCUCCUAAGGCUAAAUAUUGGCGAGAGACCGAUAGCGAACAAGUACCGUGAGGGAAAGAUGAAAAGAACUUUGAAAAGAGAGUUAAACAGUACGUGAAAUUGUUGAAAGGGAAACGAUUGAAGUCAGUCAUACCAACGGGAAAUCAACCUCUUGAGUUUGGUCUCGUGGGUUUCGAAGAGUUUAAAAGCCUUCGGAUUUUCGAGAUUGGGCUCUUCUGGUGUACUUUCUCGUACGGUUAGUCAACAUCGGUUUUGAAUGUCAUAAAAUGACUGGAGGAAUGUGGCUUCGAUCUCGUAUUGAAGUGUUAUAGCCUUUGGUAGAUGUGAUGUUCGAGACCGAGGAUUGCAACGGAUACCCUUCUGGGCUAUUCGUCUGAUCUCUGAAACGUUGCCUUGAUGUCGAAAGCUUGCUUAUGAUGUUAGGGUAUUACGGUCAAAAGGUUAGAACGGAUUAAAUUCGUUAAGGAUGUUGACGUAAUGAC
rnacentral:rRNA from 1 species